AUGCCCAGUAACGGCGAGUGAAGCGGCAACAGCUCAAAUUUGAAAUCUGGCCCCCCGGCCCGAGUUGUAAUUUGGAGAGGAUGCUUUUGGCGCGGCGCCGUCCGAGUUCCUUGGAACAGGACGCCACAGAGGGUGAGAGCCCCGUACGGACGGACGCCUAGCCUCUACAAAGCUCCUUCGACGAGUCGAGUAGUUUGGGAAUGCUGCUCAAAAUGGGAGGUAAAUUUCUUCUAAAGCUAAAUACCGGCCAGAGACCGAUAGCGCACAAGUAGAGUGAUCGAAAGAUGAAAAGCACUUUGAAAAGAGGGUUAAAAAGUACGUGAAAUUGUUGAAAGGGAAGCGCCUGUGACCAGACUUGCGCCCCGUGGACCACCCGGCGUUCUCGCCGGUGCACUCCGCGGGGCGCAGGCCAGCAUCGGUUUUCCUAGGGGGACAAAGGCCGCGGGAACGUAGCUCCUUCGGGAGUGUUAUAGCCCGCGGCGGCAUGCCCCUGGGGGGACCGAGGACCGCGCUUCGGCAAGGAUGCUGGCGUAAUGGUCACCAGCGACCCGUCUUGAAACACGGACCAAGGAGUCAAGCAUUGGGGCGAGUGUAUGGGUGCCAAACCCGCACGCGAAAUGAA
rnacentral:rRNA from 1 species